rnacentral:lncRNA from 1 species
UCUCCGUGGGCUCUGUCCCAAAGGGAAGAGGAAGUCUUCCCCUUCGCCCCCCACAUCCUGUGUGUGUGUGUGUGUGUGUGUGUGUGUGUGUGUGUGUGUGUGUGUGUGUCUUUUAGGGCUGCACCUGCAGCAAGGGCUCAAAUCAGAGCUGCAGCUGCCAGCCUACACCACAGCCACAGCAACGUGGGAUCCCGACUGUGUCUUUGACCUACACCACAGCUCACCGCAACGACAGAUCCUUAACCCGCUGAGGCCAGGGACUGAACCGGAGUUCUCAUGGAUACUAGUUGGAUUCUACACUACCGAGCACAACGGGAACUCUCCUCCUACCAUUUCUAAAAAGGAUUUUUCUAAGAACUGUAGCCUCAGGAAACAUCCUUCUUGUGGUUGAUGUAGAGGAGUUGAGUCACCAUAAGAAACAUCAGGCCGCGUCGAAGGGCAUCCAGGGACGCCGGCAUUUUGGUGGCCCUCAGCAGGGUGGAAGCCCCUCCUGAUGGAAGUCAGAUUCGUCCUGGCCCUGGGGAAGUAGCAUGUUUCUGGGGGGAACACGCCCUCAGCGGCCCCCGCCCCCCCGCGCUCCUCAGAGGCUGUGCAGGACCGCGGAAGACGAAUAGCCUCACGGAGAAGGGGGACCGCAAGGCCCAGCCCGCCGGGCUCGCUCCACCGCCUCGGGUCUGAGAGCGCGCCCCCCCACCCCCGCCAGCCCUGCUGGGGAGGAGGCUUCCCAGGCCUGUCAUCAAAGACAAAGGUCACCGGGGACCGGGGCUGCCCCGCCCCAGGGCCCACCUGCCACAGCCGAGAGCCUGGGUGGGAGAAGCCCAGGUCCCUGCCAAGGCAACGGACGCCUCUCGCGCCACCGCCACCGCCCAGCCGCUCAGCCCCGCGUUCCGCCCGUCCCUCAGCCCCGCCCCAGCCCCGCCCCGGCCCCGCCCCCGGCCCCGACUCGCCCUUCUCCCCAUCAGGCUCCGCCCCCAGCGCACGCUCAGCCCCGCCCCCCACCUGCUCUCGGGGGCCGCCUCCCCCGAAGCAGCGCCCCACGCAGUCUCUCCCGGCAGCCAAAUGGGCGACUCCUCUCCUCUGAGCCCGAGCUUCUGAAAGAAAACAAAGUUACUGAAAACUCAGACUUUACAGAAAUGCACAAAUUAGAAUGGAAGGAAUCACCAAAGCCCCACCUCCAGAUAAACUUGUACAGACGCCAAUCUGGUAAAUCGUCAUUGCUUAUUUUGAAAAUAAAUGGUUUUACACUUUGCUGGGACUGUGGUGACAGCACCACAAAAUUGGUG